UACGUAGGGUGCGAGCGUUGUCCGGAAUUAUUGGGCGUAAAGAGCUCGUAGGCGGUGUGUCACGUCGGCCGUGAAAACCUGCAGCUUAACUGUGGGCGUGCGGUCGAUACGGGCAGACUUGAGUUCGGUAGGGGAGACUGGAAUUCCUGGUGUAGCGGUGAAAUGCGCAGAUAUCAGGAGGAACACCGAUGGCGAAGGCGGGUCUCUGGGCCGAUACUGACGCUGAGGAGCGAAAGCGUGGGGAGCGAACAGG
rnacentral:rRNA from 1 species